rnacentral:rRNA from 1 species
UACGGGGGGGGCAAGCGUUGUUCGGAAUUACUGGGCGUAAAGGGCUCGUAGGCGGCCAACUAAGUCAGACGUGAAAUCCCUCGGCUUAACCGGGGAACUGCGUCUGAUACUGGUUGGCUUGAAUCCGGGAGAGGGAUGUGGAAUUCCAGGUGUAGCGGUGAAAUGCGUAGAUAUCUGGAGGAAUACCGGUGGCGAAGGCGGCAUCCUGGACCGGCAUUGACGCUGAGGAGCGAAAGCCAGGGGAGCAAACAGG